rnacentral:rRNA from 1 species
UUCCGGUUGAUCCCGCCAGACCUGACUGCUAUCGGAUUGAUACUAAGCCAUGCGAGUCUUUGUAGUAAUACAAGGCAGACGGCUCAGUAACGCGUAGUCAACCUACUCUAUGGACGGGAAUAACCUCGGGAAACUGAGUAUAAUGCCCGAUAGAACAUUAUGCCUGGAAUGGGUUUAUGUUCCAAAUGAUUUAUCGCCGUAGGAUGGGACUGCGGCCUAUCAGUUUGUUGGUGAGGUAAUGGCCCACCAAGACUAUUACAGGUACGGGCUCUGAGAGGAGUAGCCCGGAGAUGGGUACUGAGACACGGACCCAGGCCCUAUGGGGCGCAGCAGGCGAGAAAACUUUGCAAUGUGCGAAAGCACGACAAGGUUAAUCCGAGUGGUUUCUGCUAAAGAAACCUUUUGUUAGUCCUAAAAACACUAACGAAUAAGGGGUGGGCAAGUUCUGGUGUCAGCCGCCGCGGUAAAACCAGCACCUCAAGUGGUCAGGAUGAUUAUUGGGCCUAAAGCAUCCGUAGCCUGCUCUGUAAGUUUUCGGUUAAAUCUGUAUGCUCAACAUACAGGCUGCCGGGAAUACUGCAGAGCUAGGGAGUGGGAGAGGUAGACGGUACUCGGGAGGAAGUGGU